AGCUUUGCGCAGUGGCGAUAUCGUAAUCAAUGAGGUUUUGCCGAGGUGCGAUUAUUGCUAGUUGAAAACUGAACAUACCUUUAUUGAUUUCUAACAGAUAAUAUGAAAAAAACUACCAGAAAAAAUACUCGAAAAUUACUAGAAA